AACGAACGCUGGCGGCAGGCCUAACACAUGCAAGUCGAGCGAGGACUUCGGUUCUAGCGGCGGACGGGUGAGUAACGCGUGGGAAUGUGCCCUUCUCUACGGAAUAGCCCUGGGAAACUGGGAGUAAUACCGUAUACGCCCUAUUGGGGAAAGAUUUAUCGGAGAAGGAUCAGCCCGCGUUGGAUUAGGUAGUUGGUGGGGUAAUGGCCUACCAAGCCGACGAUCCAUAGCUGGUUUGAGAGGAUGAUCAGCCACACUGGGACUGAGACACGGCCCAGACUCCUACGGGAGGCAGCAGUGGGGAAUCUUAGACAAUGGGGGCAACCCUGAUCUAGCCACGCCGCGUGAGUGAUGAAGGCCUUAGGGUUGUAAAGCUCUUUCAGCUGGGAAGAUAAUGACGGUACCAGCAGAAGAAGCCCCGGCUAACUCCGUG
rnacentral:rRNA from 1 species